UACGUAGGGGGCAAGCGUUGUCCGGAAUCAUUGGGCGUAAAGAGCGCGUAGGCGGCCCUGUAAGUCCGCUGUGAAAGUCAAGGGCUCAACCCUUGGAUGCCGGUGAAUACUGAGGGACUAGAGUACGGGAGAGGAAAGUGGAAUUCCUGGUGUAGCGGUGAAAUGCGUAGAUAUCAGGAGGAACACCGGUGGUGUAGACGGCUUUCUGGACCGACACUGACGCUGAGACACGAAAGCGUGGGUAGCAAACAGG
rnacentral:rRNA from 1 species